GACAAGAAAGAAUUACAGGCAGUUCCACCUGGAGGUGGGACAGGCUGUGGAAAUUGAAUGUAUUGUAAAGAUUUAGGAUGUAAACCAGGAGGUGAUCAAAGUAUUGGAGGGGCUGGGAUUUCGUGAAGGCCAUACCACUGCAGGAAACUUGGCUUACUUGGGAGUAUGAUCCAUGCUUUAUGAUGUUGUGAGUGACUUCUCGUGUUUAGUGCUUGCAGCGUAGAUCAGUAGAUGGAGAAGAGCCGACUUAACUGGAGUCCACACAGCACAAACGAACCAGAGUGUUUACAUUUCUUUCAAGUGCAAGAAGGCAGUUACACUACUGAAAUUAUAUGCGGAUGAAAUGCUUGGGACUACAAGAUGCUACAAGGAAACUAAAUGCAAAAGAAAACUAUGGAGGAAGUAUUAUGUGCAAUACUAAAUCUGGAGGAAGAAUAAAAAUCAAGGUAAUGACUAUAUUACAUCCAUGGUGGCCUGAAAGAGACAAAAUCAGGGGGGAUGGUGAAAGUAGAAAUGUAGAAGAGCUUUCUUAUAUUGUCUCCAAGCAAGCUGAGGAAUACUAUUAAGUUUCUCAAAAAAAGGAGAUGAAAUAAGAACCAAAAUAAAAACAAAGGGAAUGACAAUGACCUGAAAGAGGAACUUUGAAGGUAAACCGUGAUGGAGUUUUCCUUGCUGAAAAUACUAAUGAUGGUUGUGGAGCCACAAUUAGUGAUGAUGAAGAAGAUGUAGUCGGUUGUGGGAUGAGGAAAACUGCGAAUAUCCUGAACAUACAAACAAAACAUGUAAACUGGGAGUACUGCCAGUUUAGGAGCAAAGUAACCAUUACUAGAGUAAUGAAUCUGAGAAAUUAGUUGUUGAACUUGAGAACUGUUGUAAUUCUCGACAAUGAGAUGGUCUUAUUUUUUGUCCCAGUAAAGGUUGGAGGUAGAAUCAGCUUCAAGCUCGAGUACCCAAUGGUAGAGAAAUAGAAAGGAGGCACAAGAUGGAAGUAUGAACUCUGGCAGUAACAUUUUUAAUUUUCCAAGUUAUGUUGAUGAUGUUAAGGUUAAUGGACAACUCUACAGGCACUUAGUAGAACACAAGCUUUUGUUGUUGAGUUCAAUAUAAGGUGUCCUGUGUAUUUUUUAAGGUGUCAUGUUUCUCAAGAGAAUACAUCUGCACGUAAGGAACCAGCUAAUAAAUGAACUAGCUCACAAGCAGUCUUUGCUUUUGCUUCAUUGAUUUCAUUGUAGCAUAGUUCUAUUCAUAUUUCUGAUACUUAUUUUUUCUGUAUCACUUACAAUUUUCGUUUAGCAAAGUGAUGUCCCUCUUGAAUAAUCAUAUGCUGCUGUCAGUUCGAACAUUGCACUUAGCAAAUUUAAUCUUUUAUGGGAUUGGAUGUGAUUUUCUCUUCCCUUAUACUAAUUCUAACAUUAAUGGGAUAUUGCGUACAAUGUUCUAAUGCUAAGCUGUUGUAAGUACUCGGUUAUCAAAAAAAAACUUGU